CAGUAGCCGCGGGAAUACGAAGGGUGCAAGCGUUACUCGGAAUUACUGGGCGUAAAGCGUGCGUAGGUGGUGGUUUAAGUCCGUUGUGAAAGCCCUGGGCUCAACCUGGGAAUUGCAGUGGAUACUGGGUCACUAGAGUGUGGUAGAGGAUAGUGGAAUUUCCGGUGUAGCAGUGGAAUGCGUAGAGAUCGGAAGGAACAUCUGUGGCGAAGGCGACUAUCUGGGCCAACACUGACACUGAGGCACGAAAGCGUGGGGAGCAAACAGGAUUAGAUACCCGCGUAGUCCCUGUCUCUUAUAC
rnacentral:rRNA from 1 species